UGGGGAAUAUUGGACAAUGGGGGGAACCCUGAUCCAGCCAUGCCGCGUGUGUGAAGAAGGCCUUAUGGUUGUAAAGCACUUUAAGCGAGGAGGAGGGUACUGGUAUUAAUACUACCAGGUACUGGACGUUACUCGCAGAAUAAGCACCGGCUAACUCUGUGCCAGCAGCCGCGGUAAUACAGAGGGUGCGAGCGUUAAUCGGAUUUACUGGGCGUAAAGCGUGCGUAGGCGGCUAAUUGAGUCGGAUGUGAAAUCCCCGAGCUUAACUUGGGAAUUGCAUUCGAUACUGGUUAGCUAGAGUGUGGGAGAGGAUGGUAGAAUUCCAGGUGUAGCGGUGAAAUGCGUAGAGAUCUGGAGGAAUACCGAUGGCGAAGUCAGCCAUCUGGCCUAACACUGACGCUGAGGUACGAAAGCAUGGGGAGCAAACAGG
rnacentral:rRNA from 1 species